UCUUGAUUUUCAUCUUCUGGGAGCAACUUGGUUGGGCACAUACGUGGCUAGUUCUCAGAAAUCUUCAAAGCAGCAACUGUCAUCAUACAAGUACAACACAGAGUGCCAGCAACAGAAGUAAAAGAUAAAAAGUAUGAGCAACGUUGGAACUUCCUCAUUUGUUCUUUUUGUAAAACAGGUUAUCAAACUCGAGGCGAAAAAUCAAGGUAAAAAUUCUCAAUUACAGAUAGAUGUACCAACAUGGCAUUGAUAAACAUAUCACAUCCUUGCUUCCACAGGAAGCACAGAAAAAACACAACAUGUGCUUUUGUGAGAAGCACAGAUAUAAUUCCGCAAGAAGUACGGUUUUGCUUCCACGUGAAGCACAACAUUUGUUUUCAUGAGACGUGCAAUUCUUCUUGAAAGCACAUCUACCCUUCUACCGAAAAAGGAAAAAUGUCCUACCGCAAGAAGCACAACUUUUCUUAUGCAAGCCUAGAAAAAAGGAAAAGCACAGCAUGUGUUUCCAAAAAAAUGAAAACAUAGUUGUGCUUCUGGCCUUCGAUUUUUUCUUCUUUCAAUUUUAUUUUUCCCGGAUUCCAUUUUUUUGCAUUUUUUUGUAUUUUUUGUUUUCUUUUCGGUUCCGGAUUUUUGUUCUGGGUUUUCUUUCGAUUUUUUUGUGAAAAAAGUUGUUGAAACCUAUUAACAUGUGAUCUAAUUUCGAAGAUCUCAACGCGGAAAAUCAAAUGAUUAAAAUGGUUCAGAAUUUGGAUACACGGUUCAAGAGAUGAACCUUAUUGAAAAAACAAAUACGAAAAAAAAACUACAAGGUUGCGACAAGUGGCGCACAUGUAGUGCGCUGGUGGGAUGUUACUUUUGCAAGCAUAAGCAUUAACUAGUGAUUUUGAGGUCCUUCUUGCAGUUCUCACUGCACUUAACGUGCAUCGGCUUCGCCUUCGACUUCGGCCCUUGGGCCUUGGGCGGCCUCUCAGCAGGCCCCUUCGGCUUGUCUUCCUUGGGCUCCUUCAGCUUGGGCCCCUGGGCCUUGGGCGGCCUCUCAGCAGGCCCCUUCGGCUUGUCUUCCUUGGGCGCCUUCAGCUUGUCGGACCGGGCGGCGGUGGCGGUGACAAGGAGAAGAACGACCGCCGCCACAACCAGCACGACUCCCAGGCGCCUCGCCAUUGCCAAAGCCCUCACGGUGUUGCUCCUAGCUUAUAGUAUGGUCUUGGUAGUGUCUUUCGUUCUGUUGAUUAUCUGAGAUGGGUGCGUUUGUAUGCAUGGUUCCCAUGGAAUUUAUAGAGCAUGGAUACCUAUGUAGCUCACUUGGUACGUGGUGCUCGUCAACGGCGCCGGCCUAUCUAUCUUGGCCGGAAUGUAAGUUGCCGCUCGCUUGAAGCGGCAAAGGUUAUGCGUUGGCCAGGACGCGACCUAAUCUUCAAGGAAAAGAUGCUAAUGCAUGUGCUUAGCAGCCUGCUAGCGGAAGCGAUCCCAGAGUUUCACCGUCCUUGAUUACAAUAUCUCCUAGUGUGUGUUAAUUACUCUUCACAAUGAGCAAAAGUUGCAGGUUGAUCGAGUAGUACAUAUGUACUAGCUGUUUCAGUGGUAUAGACGAACAUGACCCCCCUCCUUUUUUUUGUUUUUUUGGUUUUUGUGCAAAGUACAUUAACCCGGACAUUUUUAUUUUAGUACGUGUUCCAGAAAAGAAAUAGAAGAAUGUGACUAUGCGACAUUGUAUAUGUUAGUGCAAUGCGACUAUGCGAGCACAUUGUGGUUAUCUGAAGCCCCAAGAACCAUAGAAGAUUAAAGAUGGUUAGACGGGACACCGUGCUAGUUUGAAAAUAAAUGUCAGUGCCCAAACAAAUAAACUAGCUUCUCGUCGUCAUCACUUUGCGCAUCCUCUGCGUCACUUGUCAGGCUGCUGAAAACCCCAAGUUAUUAGAAGAAAAAAGGAACAAAAUGCAAAGUCACUUUGGGUGGGCUGCAGCCAGUAUAUCUCCCAAGAAAGGAGAGGACAACCUGUCAACGGCUUUACAUCGAUAAAACAAUAAAUGGAACAGGACAUAAAUAGAAACGACCCUCAUAUGUACACUCUGAUCCCUGCUUACAGGCAAUCAUCAAGCUCUUAGAUCUAUUUCAGACAGUAACGUGCAACGUGCAUGCAGGGUUAGAAGACCGGGACCCCAAAAGAGCUAAAUUCCGAAGAUGAUCGAAGAAGCAUACUGUGAAAUAGUCACCACCGCAGAUAAACUUUUCCAGUUCAUAUGCAUAUAUAAGACGAAUGGCAUCUUCUGUGACAGAUUGCCACUCUUUCUCAGACACAACCUGAACCAAGCUUAUAAAUAUCUUGCACUAUAUAGAUAGAUAGAUAGAUAGAUAGAUGCGGCGCAGCGCAGACACCAAGUUAAAAUUAAUAUAUCCUGCGCGCAUUGAUCUUGAAGAUGCGGCCCACACCUAGGGUAGAUGUAGCUAAUACAUAGUUACUGCUAACGGGUUCGUAAUCUCAAUAUGAAACUCAGGGCCCUCCAUGAAAAUCUUGAUUUUCAUCUUCUGGGAGCAACUUGGUUGGGCACAUAGGUGGCUAGUUGUCAGAAAUCUUCAAAGCAGCAACUGUCAUCAAACAAGCAAAACAGAGUGUCAGCAACAGAAGUAAAAGGAAAAAAGUAUAAGCAACACUGAAACUUCUUCAUUUGCUCUCUUUGCAUCACACUCGUUGUCGAGCUAAAGGCUAAAAAUUAAGGUAAAAAUUCUCACUAACAAACAGAAAAGGAAGCCAUGAUUAUGUAACAAACAUAACCAACAUGCCAUGUUAAAUUACCAAGCAAUGAUGUCUGAAUUAAUGGACGAGUAAAAAAUCUAUCUUAGCUUCGUUACUGUUUUAC
rnacentral:lncRNA from 1 species